GAGCUGGCAGUGCAGAAGGCAGUGGUCCACCUUCCGGUGCUGCUCAGUGUGGUGGAUCAUUUCAACCGAAUCAGCAAGGUUGGAAACCAGCAGUGCAUUGUUGGUGUGCUUUUGGGGUCAUGGCAGACAAAAGUACUUGAUGUAUCCAACAGUUCUGGAGUCCCUUUUGAUGAAGAUGACAAAAAUCAUUCUGUCUGGUUUUUAGACCAUGAUUAUUUGGAAAACAUGUAUGGAAUGUUUAAGAAAAUUAAUGCCAAAGAAUAGUUGGGUGGUACCACACAGGCCCUAAACUACACAAGAGUAACAUUGCCAUCAAUGAACUCAAGAAAAGACACUAACCUAACUCAGUAUUGGUAUUACUGACUGAAACUAAAGGAUCUGGGGCUGCCCACAGAAGCAUAUAUUUCAGUGAGAGAAGUCCAUGAUGAUGGUGCUCCAACCUCAAAAACAUUUGAGCAUGUGGCUAAUGAAACUGGAGCAGAGGAAGCUGAGGCAGCUGGAGCUGAACACUUGUUACAAGACAUCAAAGAUGCUACAGUGGACAGUCUUUACCAGCUGAUCACAAAGAGGUCCAUGGUUUGAGGAGGCUGAACUCCAAGCUUCUGGAUAUCAGGAGCUACCUGGAAAAAACAGCCACAGGCAAGCUGCCAAUCAACCACCAGAUCAUUAGCUGCAGGAAGUCUUCAAUCUGCUGCCAGACAUCAGCCUGCAGCAGUCUGUCAAGGCCUUGUACCUGAAGAUCAACGACCAAAUGGCAGUGGGGUACUCUGCCUCCCUGACACAUUCCAUAGUUGCCCUACACAACUUCAUCAACAACAAGAUUGCCAAUCAGGAUGUAGAGAAGAAAGAAGGGCAGGAAACAGAAGGGAGCAAAAAGGAUAGAAAAGAUGACAAAGAGUAAGAUAUAGAUAAGGAAAAGAGUGAUGUGAAGAAAGAAAAGAAAAAGGAGAAAAAG
rnacentral:lncRNA from 1 species